rnacentral:rRNA from 1 species
AGCUUGCUACCUGACCUAGCGGCGGACGGGUGAGUAAUGCUUAGGAAUCUGCCUAUUAGUGGGGGACAACAUUCCGAAAGGAAUGCUAAUACCGCAUACGCCCUACGGGGGAAAGCAGGGGAUCUUCGGACCUUGCGCUAAUAGAUGAGCCUAAGUCAGAUUAGCUAGUUGGUGGGGUAAAGGCCUACCAAGGCGACGAUCUGUAGCGGGUCUGAGAGGAUGAUCCGCCACACUGGGACUGAGACACGGCCCAGACUCCUACGGGAGGCAGCAGUGGGGAAUAUUGGACAAUGGGCGAAAGCCUGAUCCAGCCAUGCCGCGUGUGUGAAGAAGGCCUUUUGGUUGUAAAGCACUUUAAGCGAGGAGGAGGCUACUUAGAUUAAUACUCUAGGAUAGUGGACGUUACUCGCAGAAUAAGCACCGGCUAACUCUGUGCCAGCAGCCGCGGUAAUACAGAGGGUGCGAGCGUUAAUCGGAUUUACUGGGCGUAAAGCGUGCGUAGGCGGCUUUUUAAGUCGGAUGUGAAAUCCCUGAGCUUAACU